CCUACGGGUGGCAGCAGUAGGGAAUUUUCGGCAAUGGGGGGAACCCUGACCGAGCAACGCCGCGUGAACGAAGAAGUUAUUCGUAAUGUAAAGUUCUUUUAACAGGGAAGAAAGAGAAAUUUGACGGUACCUGAAGCAUAAGCUCCGGCGAACUACGUGCCAGCAGCCGCGGUAAUACGUAGGGAGCGAGCGUUAUCCGGAAUUAUUGGGGGAAAAGGGGGCGUAGAGGGCAGGGAAAGUCUUUGGUAAAAAUGCUGGGCUCAACCCAGUAGGGCAAAAGAUACUGCAAAGCUAGAGUAUGACAGAGGCAGGUGGAACUACAUGUGUAGCGGUAAAAUGCGUAAAUAUAUGUAAGAACACCAGUGGCGAAGGCGGCUUGCUGGGUCGAUACUGACAUUGAGGCACGAAAGCGUGGGGAGCAAACAGGAUUAGAUACCCGUGUAGUC
rnacentral:rRNA from 1 species